rnacentral:rRNA from 1 species
CAGUCGCCACGGUAAUACGUAGGUGGCAAGCGUUGUCCGGAAUUAUUGGGCGUAAAGGGCUCGCAGGCGGUUUCUUAAGUCUGAUGUGAAAGCCCCCGGCUCAACCGGGGAGGGUCAUUGGAAACUGGGAAACUUGAGUGCAGAAGAGGAGAGUGGAAUUCCACGUGUAGCGGUGAAACGCGUAGAGAUGUGGAGGAACACCAGUGGCGAAGGCGACUCUCUGGUCUGUAACUGACGCUGAGGAGCGAAAGCGUGGGGAGCGAACAGGAUUAGAUACCCCAGUAGUCCCUGUCUCUUAUAC